GAUGAACGCUGGCGGCGUGCCUAAUACAUGCAAGUCGAGCGAACGGACGAGAAGCUUGCUUCUCUGAUGUUAGCGGCGGACGGGCGAGUAACACGUGGAUAACCUACCUAUAAGACUGGGAUAACUUCGGGAAACCGGAGCUAAUACCGGAUGAUAUUUUGAACCGCAUGGUUCAAAAGUGAAAGACGGUCUUGCUGUCCCUCAUAGAUGGAUCCGCGCUGCAUUAGCUAGUUGGUAAGGUAACGGCUUACCAAGGCAACGAUGCAUAGCCGACCUGAGAGGGUGAUCGGCCACACUGGAACUGAGACACGGUCCAGACUCCUACGGGAGGCAGCAGUAGGGAAUCUUCCGCAAAGGGCGAAAGCCUGACGGAGCAACGCCGCGUGAGUGAUGAAGGUCUUCGGAUCGUAAAACUCUGUUAUUAGGGAAGAACAUAUGUGUAAGUAACUGUGCACAUCUUGACGGUACCUAAUCAGAAAGCCACGGCUAACUACGUG
rnacentral:rRNA from 1 species